rnacentral:snRNA from 1 species
UGGCUAAGUCCGUUCGGCG